rnacentral:tRNA from 1 species
GGAAUGUGGCUCAAGUGGUAGCGCACUCGCCUAACAUGCAUGAGGCACUGGGUUCGAUUCUCAGCACCA